GAGGGUAUAGCUCAGCAGUAGAGUACAUGCUUAGCAUGCAUGAGGUCCUGGAUUCAAUUCCCAGUACGUCCA
rnacentral:tRNA from 1 species